CAUCCCUAGUGUGCCUUGCUCCCACGACUGUAGUAACUGGCCUUGUAGAUGACGGUACGUUAACCAGAAAGACCACGGCUAACUACGUGCCAGCAGCCGCGGUAAUACGUAGUGGCAGGCGUUAUCCGGAAGUUAUUGGCGUAAGACGCGCGUAGGCGGUAAAGUAAGUACUGAUGUGAAAGACCCCGGCUCAACCGGGGAGGGUCGAUUGGAAACUGUUUACUUGAGUUACAGAAGAGGAGAGUGGAAGUUCCAUGUGUAGCGGUGAAAUGCGC
rnacentral:rRNA from 1 species